rnacentral:rRNA from 1 species
AUACGUAGGGUGCAAGCGUUAAUCGGAAUUACUGGGCGUAAAGCGUGCGCAGGCGGUUUUGUAAGAUAGUGGUGAAAUCCCCGGGCUCAACCCGGGAACUGCCAUUGUGACUGCAAGGCUGGAGUGCGGCAGAGGGGGAUGGAAUUCCGCGUGUAGCAGUGAAAUGCGUAGAUAUGCGGAGGAACACCGAUGGCGAAGGCAAUCCCCUGGGCUUGCACUGACGCUCAUGCACGAAAGCGUGGGGAGCAAACAGGAUUAGAUACCCUGGUAGUCCACGCCCUAAACGAGGUCAACUGGUUGUUGGGGAUUUAUUUUCUCAGUAACGAAGCUAACGCGUGAAGUUGACCGCCCGGGGAGUACGGCCGCAAGGUUAAAACUUAAAGGAAUUGACGGGG